UACGUAGGGGGCAAGCGUUGUCCGGAAUCAUUGGGCGUAAAGAGCGUGUAGGCGGCCUGAUAAGUCCGCUGUGAAAGUCCAGGGCUCAACCCUGGAAUGCCGGUGGAAACUGUCAGGCUCGAGUCCGGAAGAGGCGAGUGGAAUUCCUGGUGUAGCGGUGAAAUGCGCAGAUAUCAGGAGGAACACCAAUGGCGGAGGCAGCUCGCUGGGACGUGACUGACGCUGAGACGCGAAAGCGUGGGGAGCAAACAGG
rnacentral:rRNA from 1 species